rnacentral:rRNA from 1 species
AUACGGAGGGUGCAAGCGUUAAUCGGAAUUACUGGGCGUAAAGCGCGCGUAGGCGGCUCAGUCAGUCGGAUGUGAAAGCCCCGGGCUCAACCUGGGAAUUGCAUUCGAUACUGCUGAGCUAGAGUAUGGAAGAGGGAAGUGGAAUUCCGGGUGUAGCGGUGAAAUGCGUAGAUAUCCGGAGGAACACCAGUGGCGAAGGCGACUUCCUGGGCCAAUACUGACGCUGAGGUGCGAAAGCGUGGGGAGCAAACAGGAUUAGAAACCCCAGUAGUCC